UGCUGACCUGAUUUAAUCAGUUAGAUAUCGGAUCUACUGAUUUAGAAGAGACCUCAACUCAAAUCUUCUCAUUAAAUAUUAAGUCUAAAGGUCUUCCACCAUUGUAGAGAUGCGAGUACUUUCCUAGCAUUGAUCAUUCUCGACUGGUUACAGUUGUUUGAUUACAACAAAAAAGUACAACCACUCUAUUGAUAUUUAA
rnacentral:lncRNA from 1 species